AUUGAACGCUGGCGGCAGGCCUAACACAUGCAAGUCGAGCGGAGCGGCGGACGGGCGAGUGAUGCCUAGGAAUCUGCCUGGCAGUGGGGGAUAACGUCCGGAAACGGGCGCUAAUACCGCAUACUCUCAGAUCAACCUAGGUCGGAUUAGCUAGUUGGUGGGGUAAAGGCCUACCAAGGCGACGAUCCAUAACUGGGCUGAGAGGAUGAUCAGUCACACUGGAACUGAGACACGGUCCAGACUCCUACGGGAGGCAGCAGUGGGGAAUAUUGGACAAUGGGCGAAAGCCUGAUGCAGCCAUGCCGCGUGUGGGAAGAAGGUCUUCGGAUUGUAAAGCACUGUAAGUUGGGAGGCGUUACCAACAGAAUAAGCACCGGCUAACUCCGUGCCAGCAGCCGCGGUAAUAC
rnacentral:rRNA from 1 species